AAAAAAAAAAAAAAAAAAUUACUAGGGCAUGCAGUGCAAGCAAACAAAUAUCCAAAUUACAAUAUUUUGCUGCCCAAAAUUAAGAUUAACAGAUCAAGAAUCAGUGGAAUUAAAUGCAACCAAAAAAUAUAUGAAUCAAAAAACAAAAAGUAAAUGAUUAAAUAUUAAUUGGGAUGAGACUAUGAAGGAUGAAGACAGGGAGGCAUGACAGGGGGCGAGGUGAGGCAGUGAGGGCUUACCAUCUUUGAGGGUUUCCAUAUUGAGGCUUCAUAGAGGGUAAAAGCCAUGACAGAAGGCUACAAUUGUGAAGCUUUGUCAAGGGUGGCUCCAUUGACGUUGAAGCUUCAUUAAGCUUUGUUGAGGAUGGAAUCAAGAAUAAGAAGGUAGGGAACGAAGGCAAGGCAGAGAGUUUUGAUUUUGGAUGAAUCAAGAAGGUUUCUAACUGAGAGGCAUGAAACUGAAAGGAAGGUUUGCCUUUUAUACCAAUGCCAAAACGACUGUGGAUUAAAGGGAGGGUAAAUUUUAGUCAGUUCGAUUGGUUUGGUUACUUAGAUAGAACUAACCGAAGCAAACCUAAUAAUCGUUUUUCGCUAAAAUUUAUAGCCAAACUAAAUCGUUUGACUUAAAAACUGAACCAAAACUGCGAAUUUAAUCGGUUUGGUUUUUCGGUUAUAAUUGAAAACUGCUUAGCCCUAGUUUAUGGAAUAAU
rnacentral:misc_RNA from 1 species